UGCUUAGAUAAAGCCGGGUCAAUGGCCAUCAGGCGAAGUUGGUCGAACUUUACAUGUUCUCUGCAGCCGUACAUCAUAAUUACCCGAAUGCUACUGCAGUCAUAGAACUCUCGGCUGGUUGAGUGCAAAUCAAAUCACAAAUCAAAGUGCCCAAAAACCCCAACAUACAAAUUUAGUUUCGGGGAAAAUGAGAUGAUGAUGGCCCGAGCAUGGAAAUGGACAACUAGGAUGGUGGCCAAAACCCAAAUCCGAACUGAAUGAACCGGCGACAUGUUUGUAAUUAGUACUUCGCCAUUGGCACUCUGAUGGAAUGUCCUAUGUCCUUUGGACAUCACAAAUUUGAAGAGAGUUCGACUCCACACGUCUUUCACUGCUGGGAGGCGAAAUAUGUGGGUUGCCUU
ensembl:ncRNA lncRNA:CR44735 long non-coding RNA:CR44735